UGUUGCUGUUCUUAUUGCUACUGUUACUUUUGCUGCCAUAUUUAAUCUACCAGGUCAAUAUACCGACAACCCUAAGGAGAUUCCUCCGGGAUACUCAAUAGGAGAAGGAAGGAUUGCUCCUCAACCCCCUUUUGUGAUUUUCUUCAUAUUCGACUCUCUUGCACUCUUCAUAUCAUUAGCUGUCGUGGUUGUUCAAACAUCAAUCGUGGUUGUUGAAAGACGAGCCAAAAAGCAA
rnacentral:misc_RNA from 1 species